UACGAAGGGGGCUAGCGUUGUUCGGAUUUACUGGGCGUAAAGCGCACGUAGGCGGUUUGUUAAGUGAGAGGUGAAAUCCCAGAGCUCAACUCUGGAACUGCCUUUCAUACUGGCAAGCUAGAGUCCGGAAGAGGUAAGUGGAACUCCUAGUGUAGAGGUGGAAUUCGUAGAUAUUAGGAAGAACACCAGUGGCGAAGGCGGCUUACU
rnacentral:rRNA from 1 species